rnacentral:rRNA from 1 species
UACGGGGGGGGCAAGCGUUGUUCGGAAUUACUGGGCGUAAAGGGCUCUUAUGUUUUUUAUUAUGUCUGUCGUGAAAUCCCUCGGCUUAACCGGGGAACUGCGUCUGAUACUGGAUGGCUUGAGUUCGAGAGAGGUGAGUGGAAUUCCGGGUGUAGAGGUGAAAUUCGUAGAUAUUCGGAGGAACACCAGUGGCGAAGGCGGCUCACUGGCUCGAUACUGACGCUGAGGUGCGAAAGCGUGGGGAGCAAACAGG